GGGUUUAGGUUAGGGUUUAGGUUAUAGGUUUAGGUUUUAGGUUAUAGGUUAUAGGUUUAGUUUAUAGGUUAAGGUUUGGGUUAUAGGUUAAGGUUUAGGUUAUAGGUUAUAAGUAUAGGUUUAGGUUUAGGUUAAGGUCUAGGUUUAGGUUAUAAGUAUAGGUUUUGGGAUUUGAGAAUAGAUUUAGGUUAAGGUUAUA